UGUUUCGAACUUCAAUGCAGG
ensembl:piRNA 21ur-603 ncRNA